rnacentral:rRNA from 1 species
GACGUAGGGCGCAAGCGUUGUCCGGAUUUAUUGGGCGUAAAGAGCUCGUAGGCGGCUUGUUGCGUCGACUGUGAAAACCCUUGGCUCAACCAUGUGGUCUGCAGUCGAUACGGGCAGGCUAGAAUUCGGUAGGGGAGACUGGAAUUCCUGGUGUAGCGGUGAAAUGCGCAGAUAUCAGGAGGAACACCGGUGGCGAAGGCGGGUCUCUGGGCCGAUAUUGACGCUGAGGAGCGAAAGCGUGGGGAGCGAACAGG